CCUACGGGUGGCAGCAGUGAGGAAUAUUGGUCAAUGGGCGGAAGCCUGAACCAGCCAAGUCGCGUGAGGGAAUAAGGCCCUACGGGUCGUAAACCUCUUUUGCCGGGGAGCAAGGGCGGGGACGUGUCCCGGCCCGGAGAGUACCCGGAGAAAAAGCAUCGGCUAACUCCGUGCCAGCAGCCGCGGUAAUACGGAGGAUGCGAGCGUUAUCCGGAUUUACUGGGCGUAAAGGGCGCGUAGGUGGGCGCUUAAGUCAGGUGUGAAAACUCCGGGCUCAACCUGGAGACUGCACUUGAAACUGGGUGUCUUGAGGGCAGGAGAGGAAAGUGGAAGUCCUAGUGUAGUGGUGAAAUGCGUAGAUAUUAGGAGGAACACCAGUGGCGAAGGCGACUUUCUGGACUGUACCUGACGCUGAGGCGCGAAAGCGUGGGUAGCGAACGGGAUUAGAUACCCUGGUAGUC
rnacentral:rRNA from 1 species